rnacentral:rRNA from 1 species
GGUUAUACAAAUAAUAUAAGUAAAUUUUAUUAAUAGAAGUUAAAUUGUUAAUUUUUGAAAAAAAUAAUUAAUUUAUUAGGUGAAAUUUUAAAUUAAUACAAUUUUUAAUAAAAAAAAUAAUUGAAGCUGUAAAAUUUUAAAAAAAAACUAGGAUUAGAUACCCUAUUAUUUAAAAUAAAAAUAAAUUUAUUUGAGUAGUAUUAGAUAUAUUCUUGAAACUUAAAAAAUUUGGCGGUAUUUUAGUCUAUUCAGAGGAACUUGUUUUGUAAUCGAUAAUCCGCGAUGUACCUUACUUAAAAUUGUAAUUCAAUUUAUAUAUCGUUGUUAUUAGAAUAUUUUAUAAGAAUAAUAAUUUUCUAUAAUUUAUAUAAAAAUUAAUAUCAAAUCAAGGUGUAGUUUAUUUUUAAGUAUAAAUGAGUUACAAUAAAAUUUAUUUAUGUGAAUUUAAAUAUGAAAAAUUUAAUGAAAUUGGAUUUGAUAGUAAAAUUAUAAAGAUUAAUAAUUUGAUUUUAGCUCUAAAAUAUGUACAUAUCGCCCGUCGCUCUUGUUAUUAAAAUAAGAUAAGUCGUAACAUAGUAGAUGUACUGGAAAGUGUAUCUAGAAU